UUAUUUUUUUGAGAUGAAACUGAUUUUUUGUUGUUUUGUUGUUUUUUUGAUGAUGAGAAGAUGGCUAAUGUUGAUAAGAAAGUUAAAAAGAAACCAGUUUCCAAAUCCUUUGGCAAGAAGAAGAGCGAGGCUCCUGCUAUUGACGCUCCAUUGAGGAAGAAUUGCCCCAUGGAGAAGAGAGAAAGUGAAUUAGAAAAGAUGGAGAAGAGAAUCGCAGGUGAGAGAGAAUCACAGGAGAGAGAGAGAAUCGCAGGAGAGAGAGAAUCGGUGUAGAGAGAGAAUUUUGUUUAUAUAUGGUUAAAAAUAAUAAAUUUGCUUGAUUUAAAAUCAGAUUUUGUUUUUAAGGUAUUUUAUGGUUUUUUUUUUAAAAAAAGUCAUAUUUGUAGUUUGGUUGGUUAGUUAAUGCCAUAUUUUGUGGCAUUUAGUUUUCUUGCCAUAUUUAUCAUAAAAUGGUUUAUUUUUCCCA